rnacentral:rRNA from 1 species
UACGUAGGGUGCGAGCGUUGUCCGGAAUCAUUGGGCGUAAAGAGCGCGUAGGCGGCCCUGUAAGUCCGCUGUGAAAGUCAAGGGCUCAACCCUUGAAUGCCGGUGGAUACUGCAGGGCUAGAGUCCGGAAGAGGCGAGUGGAAUUCCUGGUGUAGCGGUGAAAUGCGUAGAGAUCGGAAAGAACACCAACGGCGAAAGCACUCUGCUGGGCCGACACUGACACUGAGAGACGAAAGCUAGGGGAGCGAAUGGG